AGGAUUCUGUUACUGUGUAAGCUUAAUUAGUAACCAUGCCAUGUUUUAGUUGCAUGGAGUUACCUGGGACAGUUCCUUUGUCUAAUUCACUUGGAGUGCCCUAAAUCUGGACUUUUCAUCAGAAGGCAGCCCAGUGGCCCCAUCCCAGGCUGGGGAAGAAUCCUCGAGCCAGAGCUCGGCGCCGCAUCCAGAGCCUCACGACAGGAGCUGUGCCUCGAGUGGAGUCUUCUGGAGCUGUGAUGAAAACAGGAUUAAAGAAGAAAUCAUUGGCAAUGGAGUGCUGCAACAACGGAAAUGCUUCUUUUCAGUGGAUACUAAAGCUGAGAUGGAUCAUAAUGGAAAGUGACACUGAAAAAUCACAGGUGCAUUGUGAGCCUGAAAUCCCCCACACCCUGAGAUCUCCAUGGGGCCCAGGAAAGGACCCAGAUGCUGCAGCCACCUCCCAGCUGCCAUCUCAAGCACAUGAUUCUCCUGUAAGUUAUAUUUCUUUAUGUAUUUUAGCUGUGUCAUUU
rnacentral:lncRNA from 1 species